GAGUUGAUGUAGCCUAGUGGUUAGGGUCUCGGCCUGUGACUCAAAAGACAUGGGUUUGAUUCCCAGUCAGUGCA